GAUGAACGCUAGCGGCAGGCCUAACACAUGCAAGUCGAGCGGGAUUAAUUGGUAGCUUGCUACUAAUUAUGAGAGCGGCGCACGGGUGCGUAACGCGUAUGCAACCUACCUUAUACUGGGGUAUAGCCCGGAGAAAUUCGGAUUAAUCCCCCAUAGCAUUAUCGAUUCGCAUGUUUUGAUAAUUAAAGGUUACGGUAUAAGAUGGGCAUGCGUCCUAUUAGCGAGAUGGUGAGGUAACGGCUCACCAUGGCGACGAUAGGUAGGGGGCCUGAGAGGGUGGUCCCCCACACUGGUACUGAGACACGGACCAGACUCCUACGGGAGGCAGCAGUGAGGAAUAUUGGUCAAUGGGCGAAAGCCUGAACCAGCCAUGCCGCGUGCAGGAAGACGGUCCUAUGGAUUGUAAACUGCUUUUAUUUGGGAAUAAACCUCUUUACGUGUAGAGAGCUGAAGGUACCAAAUGAAUAAGCACCGGCCAACUCCGUGCCAGCCGCCGCCGUAAAAC
rnacentral:rRNA from 1 species